AGAAAGGUAAGCUAAUUAAAGCUAACGGGUUCAUAUCCCGAUCAUGGAAGUUUAACCUUCCCCUCUCUA
rnacentral:tRNA from 1 species